rnacentral:rRNA from 1 species
UACGUAGGGACCGAGCGUUGUCCGGAAUCAUUGGGCGUAAAGAGCGUGUAGGCGGCUUGCUAAGUCCUGCGUGAAAGCCCCGGGCUCAACCUGGGAAUUGCAUUCGAGACUGAAUAGCUAGGGUACGGUAGAGGGAAGUGGAAUUUCCGGUGUAGCGGUGAAAUGCGUAGAUAUCGGAAGGAACAUCAGUGGCGAAAGCGACUUCCUGGACCAGUACCGACGUUCAGGCACGAAAGCGUGGGGAGCAAACAGG